rnacentral:rRNA from 1 species
GAUGAACGCUGGCGGCGUGCCUAAUACAUGCGAGUCGAGCGAACGGACGAGGAGCUUGCUUCUCUGACGUUAGCGGCGGACGGGUGAGUAACACGUGGAUAACCUACCUAUAAGACUGGGAUAACUUCGGGAAACCGGAGCUAAUACCGGAUAAUAUUUUGAACCGCAUGGUUCAACAGUGAAAGACGGUCUUGCUGUCACUUAUAGAUGGAUCCGCGCUGCAUUAGCUAGUUGGUAAGGUAACGGCUUACCAAGGCAACGAUGCAUAGCCGACCUGAGAGGGUGAUCGGCCACACUGGAACUGAGACACGGUCCAGACUCCUACGGGAGGCAGCAGUAGGGAAUCUUCCGCAAUGGGCGAAAGCCUGACGGAGCAACGCCGCGUGAGUGAAGAAGGUCUUCGGAUCGUAAAACUCUGUUAUUAGGGAAGAACAAAUGUGUAAGUAACUGUGCACGUCUUGACGGUACCUAAUCAGAAAGCCACGGCUAACUACGUG